GCUAAUAUUUAUUUAGAAAUAUCUUGAGGGGCUGUUAUAGGGCCUAUUGUAUGGUUAAUGAAGUUUUAUAUAAGUGUCAAGAAGGUUCCACGAGGAUUGGAAAUCAAACGAAUCGGCGAGAAUGAAAUUCGGAAAUUCCCAGUUGUACGGCCAUUUGUACGGACCGUAUAAAUUAUACGGCCCGUAUAAUGGUCCGUAGAUUACUUCCAAAGAAGGGUGCAACCUGGUAAGAUUAUACGGUCUAAUUAUACAGAUCGUAUAAAUUAUACGGCCCGUAUUGUUAUAUCCCGUAUUUUUGUACAUUGGAAUAUUUUUAAGCGAAUCGAGAUAAGUUUAAGGACAAGAUCAUUUUGGGAUAUGAGAUAGAGACUUUUAAUCCACGAUUUUUAAUUAAUGCACGAAUUGCUUAUAAAUUUUAUUUGGUAUAGAAAUAUUAGUGGAGAUUAGGGAUUAAUUAACCAUGAUUAGAUUAUUAAGAGGGGAUUAGUGAUUAAAUUAUUAUUAAAUCAUGUCAUUAGUAUGCCAAGUGGACCCCACUAUGGCAUGGCCAAAUCUGAUUGGCCCAUGCCAUAAGUGGGGCACGUGUAAGCUCUUUGGACAGCAUAUAUAAAAUGAAUUGAUGACUAAGGGACUAAGGCAUUCAUUCAUUUCCAUCUUUUCCAUAUUGUGAAUUAGAGAGCUAGAGAGAGAAGAGCUCAUGGCCAUGGCAGCUCACGACCAUGGCUGCUCUUGAAGUGGUUGAUAAUCUUGAUCCAAAAAUUCAUUUUUCAAGGUGUUCCAAUCAAGUGAAGGUCAUAGUAACGUGAGAUUGAUUAUUGGGGGCAGCGAGAAUACUAGUCAAUUAAAUUCACCAAAUUUCAGCAAAUUAAGGAGCCAAAUUGUUAAGGUUGAGACACUUCGGGCAGCGUAUACGUAUUGUAUAACGGAUAAGCGUUGAAGGUGCAGAUACUCGCUUUGGUGAUCCUCCAGCUUAGGAAUUCUACUCAACUGUCUUGGAGUGCUCCAUUGUUUCGGAGCCUAGACUUUUGCUGGGCAGGGAUACAGGCUUGAUCCUCAGAUUCCUUGUUCAGGGACUGCAUAGAGGAGCUCCAUUUCAUCUAGAGCUACAGCUGUUGGUAUUAUUCUUUUGUGUACAUAAAUAUGGGCAUGGCGGGGUCCUAUCCUAUCUAUAUGAUGUUACAUAUUCUUCUUAGAGGCUCGUAGACAUUUGUGUGUGGUUAGAUGUCUUGUAGCCUUGUCGAUUCACAUUUAGUAUAUUAUUUUGUUAGCCUCGUCGGCUUGUGUAUAUGGAUAUGGGCAUUGUUGUUGAUGAUGAUAUAAAUGUGUCAUUUCCUGAUAUGAUUAGUAUUGUUGAUGUAUUGGAA